rnacentral:rRNA from 1 species
UACGGGGGGAGCAAGCGUUGUUCGGAUUUACUGGGCGUAAAGGGCGCGUAGGCGGCCACCGCAAGUCGACUGUGAAAUCUCCGGGCUUAACCCGGAAAGGUCAGCCGAUACUGCGGGGCUAGAGUGCAGAAGGGGCAACUGGAAUUCUCGGUGUAGCGGUGAAAUGCGUAGAUAUCGAGAGGAACACCUGCGGCGAAGGCGGGUUGCUGGGCUGACACUGACGCUGAUGUGCGAAAGCCAGGGGAGCGAACGGG